UGCAAGUCGAGCGGACAGAUGGGAGCUUGCUCCCUGAUGUUAGCGGCGGACGGGUGAGUAACACGUGGGUAACCUGCCUGUAAGACUGGGAUAACUCCGGGAAACCGGGGCUAAUACCGGAUGGUUGUUUGAACCGCAUGGUUCAAACAUAAAAGGUGGCUUCGGCUACCACUUACAGAUGGACCCGCGGCGCAUUAGCUAGUUGGUGAGGUAACGGCUCACCAAGGCGACGAUGCGUAGCCGACCUGA
rnacentral:rRNA from 1 species